rnacentral:rRNA from 1 species
AUUGAACGCUGGCGGCAUGCUUUACACAUGCAAGUCGAACGGCAGCGCGGGCUUCGGCCUGGCGGCGAGUGGCGAACGGGUGAGUAAUGCAUCGGAACGUGCCCAGUAGUGGGGGAUAGCCCAGCGAAAGCCGGAUUAAUACCGCAUACGACCUGAGGGUGAAAGCGGGGGACCGAAAGGCCUCGCGCUAUUGGAGCGGCCGAUGUCGGAUUAGCUAGUUGGUGGGGUAAAGGCUUACCAAGGCGACGAUCCGUAGCUGGUCUGAGAGGACGACCAGCCACACUGGGACUGAGACACGGCCCAGACUCCUACGGGAGGCAGCAGUGGGGAAUUUUGGACAAUGGGGGCAACCCUGAUCCAGCCAUGCCGCGUGCGGGAAGAAGGCCUUCGGGUUGUAAAACGCUUUUGUUCGGGAAGAAAUCCUCUGGGCUAAUACCCCGGGGGGAUGACGGUACCGGAAGAAUAAGCACCGGCUAACUACGUG